CCAAUAGCGUAUAUUAAAGUUGUUGCAGUUAAAAAGCUCGUAGUUGAAUUUCGGGAUUGGCGCAUCGGUCGUGCCUUACGGGGUAUGAACUGGUGCAGUCAAUUUCUCACCUUCUGGAGAACCGCGAUGUCCUUAAUUGGGUGCCGCGGGGAACCAGGACCUUUACUUUGAAAAAAUUAGAGUGUUUAAAGCAGGCAUUUUUGCUUGAAUACAUUAGCAUGGAAUAAUAAAAUAGGACGGCAUGGUUCUAUUUUGUUGGUUUCUAGGACCACCGUAAUGAUUAAUAGGGAUAGUUGGGGGCAUUAGUAUUCAAUUGUCAGAGGUGAAAUUCUUGGAUUUAUUGAAGACUAACUACUGCGAAAGCAUUUGCCAAGGAUGUUUUCAUUAAUCAAGAACGAAAGUUAGGGGAUCGAAGACGAUCAGAUACCGUCGUAGUCUUAACCAUAAACUAUGCCGACUAGGAAUCAGACGAUGUUAAUUUUUUAAUGACUCGUUUGGCACCUUACG
rnacentral:ncRNA from 2 species